UUUGCAAUUAUAAAAAUAAUCUUUUUUUGUUUUUGUUUUUUACUUAAUAACAAAGGUAGAGCUCAACGUUGGUCUUUAAUUGAAUUGACAACUUUAAAUUAUUUUUUUUUAUUUUGAUAAACUUUCAAUAUUUUCAUUUUACAUUACCAUUAAUUAACAAACUGAAAACUCUGACUUAAUUGCAUUGAUUUUAUAGUUAAAAUCUCUGCUUGAUGGAAUAUAUUUUCAGCAAAUCUUUCAGAAAAAACAAGUUGAAAACCAUUUCCAAGUAAAACUUUACCAACUUCUUUGAAUAAAUGCACUGUAAUUUGCAAACCUUCAGAAAGUUGUGGAGGUAAAUAUUAUUGAUUUUAAGCUCUCAUCAAAACUUCCUUCUUGUUGAUCUUAAGGUUCAUUCUACAAUUUUUUCAUUCUAAUGAUUUAUUCAAUCACAAAAUCAUCUGCUGAUUCAAAAUGUUUUAAAAAUUGCUUCCUCUUUAUUAUAUGUUAAACAAUCAAAAAACAUAUCCAUCAUAAUUAUAUCCAUCAUAACAAGUUUAUAUUGUUUUAGCUACUUUUGGUAACAGUUUAAAAAAAUGAUUCUAAUGGCGUAUUUAAGUUCUGUAGAUUCAGCUCUUUCUGGUAAAAAAAUAUCGUGUCUUCUUGAUAACCUGCACGAUUGCACAAUUUUCACCAGGCAUAUCAAGAAAAAGCAGUUUCAAUGAAAACACAAAAACAACUUGGUAAAAUAACAGGAAAACGCUAACAACUUGAUUUACUUAAAAAUGGUUUUUAUCUUUUCUUGUAGAUUGGAACAUUUUAAUCGUCAUCGUAAUAGAACAAAAGAAAUUUUUCGAGUUAUGACAUACGCAUUCUAUAUCCAUUUAAAAACAACAAUUGCCAAUACGACUUUGAAAAUAAUAAAAAUGCUAGCAGUAAGGACCCAUAAAACAAAUCACGUUUAGUUUGUUCCACACCUAUCAUUUUUAUGUUUAUUCUUUAUAUGGCUUCUUUCUUUAAAUAACUUAUAGUAAACGGUAGAGAAUAAUUGAUUUAAAAAUCUUGGCGUGACUCCCGGUGUUUUUAAAAUUGAUACAUGCAACAUGUGUCAAAUUUAAAAAUCUAAAGAUUAUAAAUAAAGAGCAUUUUAAAUUAUAACAUUAUUUGUGUAAAAUUUUUUAAUCUACCAUAGCUAGCAUGGGAUGUUUAUCAGUUUAGAAAAACCAACUAUUCUUUCUUGAUUGUUCUUAAAAAUACAACAUAUGUUGACUAUGAGAGAAACACAGAUUUUUUUAGAUACACACACAAUUCUAUCAAAUGUGUGACCUUGACUUAUAUUUUCACUGUUUAUGCCAAUUUGAUAAAAAACUGAGAAUCUUUAAAAUAAAAGUUUAACUAGAAUAUGAUGGAGCCAACUGAAUUUAAGGAUUUAAUAACCCAGGUUUGUGAUCUAAAUGUCUGAGUGAUACAGUUACACAACCAAUUUUCAAAUUUAAACGAUGAGGCAUACCUAAAGGAGUUAAGUUGUUCAAAAACUCAAAAAAUUAUAAAUGAACUGAUUUCAAAAUUGCGGAGCAAUUUAGACUUGUUCCAAUGUGUUAAAAAUGGCAAAAACCCGUAUGGCAUCCCUUACCCACUCGAAACCUACUCCCACCAGCCCUACUUUCAAAGAUGUGUGUGCAUCAAUAUUGUCCAAUGAAUAUUCUUUAACCGCUAGAAAUGAAAUAUCGCAGAGAAAAUUUGUACAAACUACCAGGAAAACCAAAAGUAAGUGAAUUUAAGAAGAACGAAGGAUCAUUGAGUGAAAGUCAGACGAAAUCGAGUUAUAAAGAUAGCAUAAAGAAAGAGGACAGAUAUUGCACCAGAUGUUAGAAUGUGCAAUUUAAUUUCAAUAUCAAGUUAACUCGAUAAGAACUGUUGUAACGUGUUUUGUUUUACAAAAUUUACGUAUGAAAAUAUGCUACAUAAUUUUAAUAGAUAUUAUUGGCAAACCGUCAAAAUACUAUAUUUUUAAAUUAUUAUGUACUAUUUACGUCAACGUAUUAAGUUUAAGUGUUUAAGUACAGUCUUGAUGUCAUUUUCUUUUUGUUUAUGAAGCAAAAGGUUACAAGAAUUGUCUCAAAGCAUGCGAUUGAUGAGCACAUGGAAAUCUGUUUUAAACCUCCAUGUUUUUCUUAAUCAUUAAGAAAAACAUGGAAGUUUAAAACAGAAUUAAAAUGACAUCAAGACUGUACUUAAACACUUUAACUUAAUACGUUGACGGCAUUAAGUUAAUGCCUUAUGGUUUUCUUUAGGACAAAUAUUGCAGAAUUUGUUGCGAAUAUAUGGAAAACCAACCUUUAUAACUAAGAAGAAGUUAAAGAAGUUAAACGAAGAGUCAAAUAGUAUGUUUAGUGAUACCUAAGAAAGAUCGCCUAUGUAGUAUACAUUAUAACAUGUUAAAAACUCUUAUUCUUAUUGGGUAAGAAAAAAGCAUAAUAAUGUUGGAACCUUUAAAUAUGCUUGAACCACCUGUUUUAUCAACUUAAAAGAUUGCUCUUAGAAAUAACGUCGUUUAGAAAUACAAAUUUAGUUUAUGUGCUGAAGGCGAAGAUUUUGUUUAAAACGGCAAAUUGUUUAACAAAAUGAGUAGACAAUUAACAUCCGGUUGUUUAACCUCUACAAGAAAUUAGCAUUUUUCCAUUAGUAGGUGAUUUUCAAUAUUUAAUUGUAGCAUAGUAUGAACUUGUAACUAUACGUAUAUUGAUGGAGGGAAAACAAAAGUUAAAAAUACUAAAAAUAGUUUUUUUUGUUAUAUCUAAACAUUGUUUUGAGCUUAGUAUAUUACAGUUGGGAUUUAAUGGAAGCCUAAACUUUUAUGAAAUUAAAAAAAAGUUUUGUAACUAAUGUUUUUUCUUCGCAUGUUUCUAACAUAACUAUAACAAGGCUAAACUUUCCUAAUAUACUUUCCGAUCUUAAAUAAUUUUAAAAAAACCGUAAACAUGUAAAUUAUUUAAUUAGUUAAAUGGUUUUUAGUAAAAAAAUAAAUUAAAGUUAGAUUUUAUAUCUUAAUAAAAUAAUAAUUGCGCUUAAAAAAGCGUGAGAACAACAGGUAUUUAAAAAGUAUUAUUUUUUAACUUUGCUAUGCUUGAAUAAAUUUGAGAAAAAAAGAAAAAAUGAAUUAAAAAAAAAAAUGAAUGAAUAUUUGUUUUAAUAAGACAUGUUAAACUUGAAAAGCAAGUAAUUACAAUAAAAAAAAUUGUAAAAUAAUAUUUAACGAAUAUUAGAUAUUUUUUACAUGGCAUUGCCGAAUGCCAACCUAAAUUUCGCUGAUUGAAGAGGUGGAAUUACAGA
rnacentral:lncRNA from 1 species